UCUACUUUCUAAUCAGAAUUCAGCAUGUAGCUAGGUUGUUAUGUGUUGUAGAUGAUAAAUCUCCACAUGCCCUUUAUCCUGUAGAAGCACGAUAAUAAAUAAAAGUCCCUACCAGAAGAUGAAGUCAUCUUGUUGUCCCCUGACUAAAGACCCAUGUGAUGUGCAAGUGUGGACCAUAGCAUAGCAAUGAACUUCCUAGGCAUAGCCAGUUCAUUGAUAAGGUUUUUAUUAGAGAUCCUGAAUCUUGAGUGGAGUGAUUUGAUUUGACCAGAUUGGACUACACUCAACUAACAGCCACGAUGCAGAACUGACUUCACAGUGAAGCCUGACUGGGCAAGUGGUGGUGGAGAGCUGACUACAUGACCGGGCCCCACCAGAACAGCAGUGGCAGAGCUGAUGUCACAGAACUGGAUGAGGUCACAGUUGUACCCAGAGUGCUAAAAUACUAUGCAAGAGGUUAUCCUCUCUGGACCCAAAAGAAGAGGAACCUUUUUGAGAAAUGUUGUUAAUCUUAUUUGGUCGUACAUCUCUGUUCUUCAAAUUCCCUCUUCAUGUUCUGAUUUCCAGCCUAUAUGUUACCUGCUAGAGUUUAUACACAUUUCUGUUGGCUUCACUUGGGUUGGAUUUCCACUUUUUCUUUCUUGCUCUCCUUUCAGUUUAAGGGUAUGUAUACCUUCUAUGACUCUACUUUGGCUGUUUUAAAUAACCUCCGUAUUGAGUCUAAGGAGUUUGUCCUUAUUUUCAAUGUUAGGGUCUCUUUGACUAGCUUCCUCCUUAAAAAAUAAAGGAUCAGUGUAAGGCUUCAGUGUUUUGGGGAUGGAAAGGGGUGAAUGAAGGAGACACAUGGGGGGAAUGUAGAGGUGAGAUGACAGACGGAUGUUGAAAACAGGGUGACCAGAUGUCCUGAUAAAAUUGAGAUUGUCCCGAUUUUUAGUUUUGUCCUGUGUCCCAACGAUGCACGGUUGGGAUGCCAUUUGUCCCGAUAUUGCGGCUUUGGCCACUCCGGACACUUUUUUUUUUGCUUCCCCAAUGUGUCCCGAUAUUUUGUCAGUUUCAUCUGGUCACCCUAGUUGAAAAGAGGGGGUGGCUAGAAAAGAGUAGCAGUACAAUUGAGUGGGUAGGGAAGGAGAGGUGCAGGGAGCCUUGGAUGGGGAAAAGAGGAGAUGCAGAGAGCAAAAAUUAGAUGUUAGAGAGAACAUGGAAAAGGAGGAAGAGAACACAAUGCAGGGGGAAAAAGAAGGGAGAUAUGAGGAAUAAGGAAAGGCUACAAAUGGAGAAUGUACACCCAGAUGUAAAGAAGAAAAAGAAUGUGGUGUGAAUGAUGAGAAAAGGGAAUGUGAAGAACAAAAGCACAAGACACAUUGUUUUUUAAAGUUUAUUUAGUAGGAAGUUGAAUACCAGAAUUGUUAAAAUACCAUGUGCAGGAAUGUUUUGUUUUAUACAGGUGUGUACAUUUACACAUAG